GGCGGAUGUGGCCAAGUGGAUCAAGGCAGUGGAUUGUGAAUCCACCAUGCGCGAAGGGCGAAUUCGUUUAAACCUGCAGGACUAG
rnacentral:tRNA from 1 species